UACGUAGGGUGCAAGCGUUAAUCGGAAUUACUGGGCGUAAAGUGUGCGCAGGCGGUUUUGUAAGACAGAGGUGAAAUCCCCGGGCUCAACCUGGGAACUGCCUUUGUGACUGCAAGGCUGGAGUACGGCAGAGGGGGAUGGAAUUCCGCGUGUAGCAGUGAAAUGCGUAGAUAUGCGGAGGAACACCGAUGGCGAAGGCAAUCCCCUGGGCCUGUACUGACGCUCAUGCACGAAAGCGUGGGGAGCAAACAGGAUUAGAUACCCUGGUAGUCCACGCCCUAAACGAUGUCAACUGGUUGUUGGGAAUUCACUUUCUCAGUAACGAAGCUAACGCGUGAAGUUGACCGCCUGGGGAGUACGGCCGCAAGGUUGAA
rnacentral:rRNA from 1 species